UACGUAGGGUGCGAGCGUUGUCCGGAAUUAUUGGGCGUAAAGAGCUUGUAGGCGGUUUGUCGCGUCUGCCGUGAAAUUUCGAGGCUCAACCUCGAACUUGCGGUGGGUACGGGCAGACUAGAGUGUGGUAGGGGAGACUGGAAUUCCUGGUGUAGCGGUGAAAUGCGCAGAUAUCAGGAGGAACACCGAUGGCGAAGGCAGGUCUCUGGGCCACUACUGACGCUGAGAAGCGAAAAGCAUGGGGGAGCGAACAGG
rnacentral:rRNA from 1 species